AGAGUUUGAUCCUGGCUCAGAAUCAACGCUGGCGGCGCGCUUAACACAUGCAAGUCGCACGAGAAAGGGAGCAAUCCUGAGUAAAGUGGCGUACGGGUGAGUAACACGUGGAUCAUCUACCUUCUGGUGGGGAAUACCCCCGGGAAACUGGGGACAAUUCCGCAUAAGUCCGUGAGGAGAAAGCAGCAAUGCGCCGGAAG
rnacentral:rRNA from 1 species